UCAUGAUGACGACGACGAUGACGAUGAUGAUAAUGACAAGCAGCCUUAUGAAACUAUAAUGCCAUUCUUAAAUACACUCAUCAUCGUCAUCAUCAUCGUCAUCAUCGUCAUCAUUU
rnacentral:miRNA from 1 species